CACCUGAUUUUUUUUUGGAAUAUUAAAGCCUUGAGGUUAAAGAAAAUAGUAAGAGUUGUUAAAAGGCAGAAUUGUGUUUAGGAGACUCAAUAUGUAGUGUUGCAACACUAGGAGGAAAAACUACAGGUACAUAUUAUUCACUCAGUUUAAAACUUGCGGAUCUGUUUAUACAACUUCAGCUAUAGCCACUAUAACUGCUGUGCAAAUGACUCUCAAAUCAUAGGCCUACCCUUCUUUGCUGAACUCCAUCCAGAUCUUGCAAUGUUAAACUGCUGUUAGAUUUAAGCCAAACUCAUUUUUUUCCUAUUUCUUCCAAAAAUUUUAUUCCCCAAUCCUAUAUGGUCUUUAAUUUUAGUACUUAUGGUCUUCAGACAUCCUGUAUGUAUGUAUGUAUUUAUGUAUGCAUGUAUUUGUGUAUGUAUAUAUGUAUGAAUGAGACAGAGUCUUACUCUGUUGCCCAAGCUGCAGUACAGAGGUUAACUGUAACCUCAAACUCCUGGGCUCAAACUAUGUACCCACUUUGGCCUCCCAAGUAGCUAAGACUAUAGACACACGCCACCACGCCUGGCUAAUUUAUUUUGGUUUUUUUAGAGAUGGGUCUUGUUGUUUUUCCCAGGCUGGUUUCAAACUCCUGGCCUCAAGUGAUCCUCCCUCCUUGACCUCCCAAAGUGCUGCGAUUACAGGCCUGAGCUACCGUGCCCAGCACUCGUGUUUAUUAUUUUAUAUAUUAAUGCCUCUGUACUGCCGUUUUUGUGCUGAAUCCAACUUUGUGAGUUGACAAAUGGAGGAGCUACUGCAUGGGAAACUAUCUGACAAUCUACAAUUUAUUCUUAGAAUUUUGUUAUCUUUGUUUCUAUAGCAGUGUUUGUGAGGUUACUUGAUGAUUUUAGAGCAUUAUAUCAGUGAUUUUUCAAUCAAGAGUGAUUAUGCCUCCGUGGACAUUUGACAAAUGUCUGGAAACGUUUUUGAUGUCUAGGACUGGGAGGCUGCAACUGGCAUCUGGUGGGUGCAUAGAGGUCAGGGAUGCUGCUAAAUGUCUUAGAAUGCACGGGCUAGCCCCUACAGCCAAGAACUCUCUGGCGCAAAAUGUCAACAGUGCCACAGUUGAGAAACCCUGCAUUAUACAUUUAUGAAAAUUAAUUAAAAAUGAAAAAAUAGAGUUCGAUGAUAGCCUUCAAUUAUGUAUCAUUAAUGGAAAUCUUGGGUUAGUACUUCUCAGGUAUAUUAACCUCUCUGCUAACUUUGUCUUACCAUUUCUGCUCUUAUUUUUCCUUUCUCCUAUUGUCUUCAUUCACUUUUUCUUUAAUUUUUUAAUUGUAACCAUUUAUGUAAGCCAACUUUAUUUUUUUCUGUAAGAAGUUUUAAGUAUGUAUGAAUUAAUAAAAGAAUGUACAGAAGUGUACAGAAAGUGUUAAAGUCAGAUAACCAAGUGUAUAGUGAGCAAAGGAUAUUUACUGUUUCCAAGGGGAGUGGUUUUUCCCCCCCAAAAAAAACUCGUUAUUGUGGUCUUUUUCUCUGCCAGAGUGGUACAUGGCCUUGAAAAUUUGUGAACCCCUACUUUGAAAAUAAAGUACUUCAAAGGAAAUAAACAAAAAGAAAUCUCACCAUUUAAGUGAACCAUGUCUUUUUGAUGGGUUGGCUUUAUUCUUUUUCUAAAUUUGACCACCAGGUAAUUUUUCUGUUUCUUUUCCCUGAAUGUUGCCAGGACACUCAAUCACUUGUCGGAAGUCCCUCAACCCGUAUAGCACCUCAUAUUAUUGGAGCAGAAGAUGAUGAUUUUGGUACUGAACAUGAACAGAUCAAUGGACAGUGCAGCUGUUUCCAGAGCAUUGAAUUACUAAAAUCUCGCCCGGCUCAUUUGGCUGUUUUCUUACACCAUGUAGUUUCACAAUUUGACCCUGCGACUUUGCUCUGUUAUCUCUAUUCAGACCUGUAUAAACAUACCAAUUCCAAAGAAACUCGUCGCAUCUUCCUUGAGUUUCAUCAGUUCUUUCUAGAUCGAUCAGCACACCUGAAAGUUUCUGUUCCUGAUGAAAUGUCUGCAGAUCUAGAAAAGAGAAGACCUGAGCUCAUUCCUGAGGAUCUGCAUCGCCACUAUAUCCAAACUAUGCAAGAAAGAGUCCAUCCAGAAGUUCAAAGGCACUUAGAAGAUUUUCGGCAGAAACGUAGUAUGGGACUGACCUUGGCUGAAAGCGAGCUGACUAAACUUGAUGCAGAGCGAGACAAGGACCGAUUGACUUUGGAGAAGGAGCGGACAUGUGCAGAACAGAUUGUUGCCAAAAUUGAAGAAGUAUUGAUGACUGCUCAGGCUGUAGAGGAAGAUAAGAGCUCCACCAUGCAGUAUGUUAUUCUCAUGUAUAUGAAGCAUUUGGGAGUAAAAGUGAAAGAGCCUCGAAAUUUGGAGCACAAACGGGGUCGGAUUGGAUUUCUUCCCAAAAUCAAGCAAAGUAUGAAGAAAGAUAAAGAAGGGGAAGAAAAAGGGAAGCGAAGAGGAUUCCCCAGCAUCCUGGGACCCCCACGGAGACCAAGCCGUCAUGACAACAGUGCAAUUGGCAGAGCCAUGGAACUACAGAAGGCGCGCCACCCUAAGCACUUAUCCACACCCUCAUCUGUGAGUCCUGAACCUCAGGACUCUGCCAAGUUGCGCCAGAGUGGGUUAGCAAAUGAAGGA
rnacentral:sRNA from 1 species